GUGGGGAAUAUUGGACAAUGGGCGAAAGCCUGAUCCAGCCAUGCCGCGUGUGUGAAGAAGGUCUUCGGAUUGUAAAGCACUUUAAGUUGGGAGGAAGGGCAGUAAGUUAAUACCUUGCUGUUUUGACGUUACCGACAGAAUAAGCACCGGCUAACUUCGUGCCAGCAGCCGCGGUAAUACGAAGGGUGCAAGCGUUAAUCGGAAUUACUGGGCGUAAAGCGCGCGUAGGUGGUUUUGUAAGUUGGAGGUGAAAUCCACGGGCUCAACCUGGGAACUGCCUCCAAAACUGCAUGACUAGAGUAAGGUAGAGGGUAGUGGAAUUUCCUGUGUAGCGGUGAAAUGCGUAGAUAUAGGAAGGAACACCAGUGGCGAAGGCGACUACCUGGACUGAUACUGACACUGAGGUGCGAAAGCGUGGGGAGCAAACAGGAUUAGAUACCCCAGUAGUCC
rnacentral:rRNA from 1 species